rnacentral:lncRNA from 10 species
CCCACGCCACGCAGAGGUGAAGAUACGCAGGACGUCCUCUAAAGCAACUUCCGUGGGUGCCAGGUUGUGGGCUGGGGGCGGUGCUGACCUUGAGAGAGCGGAGGAGGCGCAGGCGCAGCACAGGUACGUGGGCGGGCGGAUCGUGGUGGCUGCGCUUGCGAGGACCCUGAGGUAGAUUGGGUGGUUUCAACAGGAACGCAUCCACUGUCUGAGAGUUUAAACUUGAUUUUGUGAGGGGACGAACAGCGUGACAAUUAAAAGAAGAUCUGGGAAUCAAAAGCUUCCUGAGGCCUUCACCAGAAGCAGAUGCUGGUGCCGUGCUUCUACAGCCUGCAGAACUGAAGGACUUUACAGCUUCUCUUUCGCAUAUCCAAAUUGCCAGCAUCACCGCUCUUGCACUCCAAGCCAUUAUUAAGUAAAGUAAAGAACACAAACACUGUGAUACUGCUACACUUGAUCUGAUAACCAAGAAGUCUACUAAGUGACUAACAGUUAAUAUUUUUGGACAUGAGGUGACUGCAGUUAACUAAAACCAUGGAAAGCAAACCCAUAGAUAAAGGGAUACUAUGCAGAGCAACUGGGAACCUAAUUCUGACCAAAAAGGAGGAAUUGUUUGGCUAAUUGGAAGUGACAGAAACCUUGGGAGAAAGCAACCGCAUACCAAGGAUAAUUAUAAGAAGAAGAGAAGACAUGGAGAAGAGGAGGGAGUAGUUGUGACCGUGGAGGCAGAGAAUGGAGUAAUGUGAUCAUAAAUCAAGGAAUGCUGACAGCCACUAAAGCUGGAGAAGGCCAAGGACAGAUAUUCAAUCCUCCCGUAGAAGUACAGCCCUGCUAAUGCAUUGAUUUUGGACUUCUGGCCUCAGAACUGUAAGAGAAUAAAUUUCUAUUGUUUUAAGCCUUCAGUUUGUGGUAGUUUGUUACAGAAACCCUGUAAAGUUAAUACACAGAGUUCAAAGAGAAUCCGGUAAUAUCUCUAAAAGACUCGUGUAUUAGUCAGGAUUCUCCAGAGAAGCAAAGCCAAUAGAAUGAUACAUGUUGUUAAAGCAAAUUAAAAUGGAGACCAUGCCUGAAGAAUCUCUGUGCAGAGAAACCCAGUUAGGCCUCAUAAGUUAACCUUACUUGAUUUGCAAACAUAAUCUAAAAGUUAACUGGAGCUAUUUCCGGUAAAUGAAUAUAACACAACUUAAGCUCAAUCAGUCAGAAGCAGCUUUAUAAUUAUGUAGCUAGGGACUUUCCAAGAGGAUGACCAAAG